GACGAACGCUGGCGGCGUGCUUAACACAUGCAAGUCGAACGGUGAAGCUCCAGCUUGCUGGAGUGGAUCAGUGGCGAACGGGUGAGUAACACGUGAGCAACCUGCCCCUGACUCUGGAAUAAGCGCUGGAAACGGCGUCUAAUACUGGAUACGAGAAGGGUCCGCAUGGGCACUUUCUGGAAAGUUUUUCGGUUGGGGAUGGGCUCGCGGCCUAUCAGCUUGUUGGUGAGGUAAUGGCUCACCAAGGCGACGACGGGUAGCCGGCCUGAGAGGGCGACCGGCCCAAAUGGGAACGGGGACACGCCCCAGACCCUAAGGGGGGGAGGAGGUGGGAAAUUUGCACAAUGGGCGAAAGCCUGAUGCAGCGACGCCGCGUGAGGGAUGACGGCCUUCGGGUUGUAAACCUCUUUCAGCAGGGAAGAAGCGAAAGUGACGGUACCUGCAGAAGAAGCACCGGCUAACUACGU
rnacentral:rRNA from 1 species